UCCAGAGGUCUCAAGCGUUGUUCGGAUUCAUUGGGCGUAAAGGGUGCGUAGGUGGCAUGGUAAGUCGGAUGUGAAAUCCCGGGGCUCAACCCCGGAACUGCAUUCGAUACUGCUGCGCUAGAGUACUGGAGAGGAGAUUGGAAUUUACGGUGUAGCAGUGAAAUGCGUAGAUAUCGUAAGGAAGACCAGUGGCGAAGGCGGGUCUCUGGGCCGAUACUGACGCUGAGGAGCGAAAGCGUGGGGAGCGAACAGG
rnacentral:rRNA from 1 species